UUAGAUUAGAGGAGGCCUGCUGUAAACAACACACAGGAAAGGCAUUUUGCUUCUUUUUAGACUGUCUUUUGUAUCAUGUUUUAUACAAGGGAUGAAAGCAUAAUACAACAUCUGUGAAAUGUUAAUGAGGGUUAUUCACUCUUUACCUAGGUUGGGGGUUUGCAGAAAGGGCGGGUCUGGGAAGGAGGAGGGUGUGGAAGAUUGGAUUCCAUAUGCAAAUGCAGGUAUCAGGGAGUCUGGAAGGCUCUGGAACAAGAGCUAGGCUGGAGGCAUGUCCUGUUGUUAUGGAGGGGAAAGGAGAGCAGCAGAUUUGAGGAGCUGGGAUGGGUGUUCUCUGUCUUGCCCUGAAACAAUCUGGUAAGCCUGGAUGGGAGGGAAGGGUCCCAGGCGGAAUGCAGGUUGGGUGACUGGGGGAGUCCCUCCACCCUGAAAUAUGAGGGAGAAUGACAAGCCAGAUGUGACAUCUCUGUCUCCCCCACCCUACCCACCACAGGUCACCCGGCCUCCACCAACCAUGUGAAAAACAGGCAGAAAUGAGAAGAAUGCAGCCUGGUGCCCCGGGAACUUGGUCCUCUCUGGGUUGUUCAGUCCAAGUCAGAUGCUUCGAUAACACACUCAGAUAUGAAGCCACCCACGGGCAAAGAGCCUUCCGAGUGAGAACCGCGGCGGCCAGCUUCUAGCCGCAUCCUCGGUAAAACAGCUGCAGCCAAACACGGGCACUUCCUUAGUCCGCUGCAGGAAGCCUUGAGAUCCCACUCUACAGGACUGCAGAAGGGUGGGCAGGCCAUCAUGGGGGCCUGGACAUGGCUCUCUCCCUGUCUGCAAACCAAGGCACUGGACGUGACGACCUACUGCUUCCCUUUCUCUUCUAGAAUCUGACGUUGCUUCUGUGGUUCUAGGAGAGGCUGGGGAGGAGCAGCUUGAUGGACACUGGCCAUCUGAAGGCCUGAGGCUCUGGCCCUAGCUCUGUGACCUUGGAUACACAGUCAUUAAUUCACUGCUGUGCUAGUUAGUACUGGGGAUAUGGAGGAGGACAAAGCAGGAUCCAUAGCUCUGGCAUCUCC
ensembl:lncRNA